rnacentral:tRNA from 1 species
GGUUAUAGCUCAGUGGUGGAGCACUUGCCUAGCAUGUGUGAGGACUGGGUUCGAUCCUCAGCACCA